GUUAUUUUAUUUUUAAAACGGCCUUCUAAGCCGUAGGUCACAGGUUCGAAUCCUGU
rnacentral:tRNA from 1 species